rnacentral:rRNA from 1 species
AACCAACAGGGAUUGCCUUAGUAGCGGCGAGUGAAGCGGCAAAAGCUCAAAUUUGAAAUCUGGCACUUUCAGUGUCCGAGUUGUAAUUUGAAGAAGGUAUCUUUGGGUCUGGCUCUUGUCUAUGUUUCUUGGAACAGAACGUCACAGAGGGUGAGAAUCCCGUGCGAUGAGAUGUCCCAGACCUAUGUAAAGUUCCUUCGAAGAGUCGAGUUGUUUGGGAAUGCAGCUCUAAGUGGGUGGUAAAUUCCAUCUAAAGCUAAAUAUUGGCGAGAGACCGAUAGCGAACAAGUACAGUGAUGGAAAGAUGAAAAGAACUUUGAAAAGAGAGUGAAAAAGUACGUGAAAUUGUUGAAAGGGAAGGGCUUGAGAUCAGACUUGGUAUUUUGUAUGUUACUCUCUCGGGGGUGGCCUCUACAGUUUACCGGGCCAGCAUCAGUUUGGGCGGUAGGACAAUUGCAAAGAAAUGUGGCACUGCCUCGGUAGUGUGUUAUAGUCUUUGUCGAUACUGCCAGCCUAGACUGAGGACUGCGGCUUCGGCCUAGGAUGUUGGCAUAAUGAUCUUAAGUCG